AUCAUAAGUACAGACGAGGAGGAGGGGUGGACUGCUGUCAGAUCAAAGGACCGGAUGAGACGCAGUGCUUCUUCACUCCAUCUGGGGAGCAGGAGCCCAAGCAGUUAAUCAGCUGUGAAUAAGGGGAGAGUGAAGAGAGAGAGAGAGAGAGAGAGAGAGAAGCGAGAGAGAGAGAGGGAGAGAGAGAGAGGGAGAGAGAGAGAGAGGGUUACUCGGGAAAACAAAGCAGAGGGAUUGGCCAGCAGAGUCUCCCAUCAGUGCAAAGAAGGUGCCUGCACCUCUGAGAAUAAAGGAUUGGGAAGGCUCCGGUAGAAGGUCGAGAAGAACAUCGGUGCCUGCUCAGAAACUACAGGAGCACCACAUCAUGGCUGUCCCACUCAUGCCCGAAUCGGCUGUUUGUCUGCUAAUGCGCUCCGGUGUGUCUCUGAGGGAGGGCCAGGCGACCGGGUACCAGGUACCAGGGGCUGUAGGGUGCAGGCGUGCUGCUGAGGGGAC
ensembl:lncRNA